rnacentral:sRNA from 1 species
GCUGGGUGUGUUGGCACACACCUGUAAUCCUCAUGACUUGGGAGGCUAAGGCAAGAGGAUUGUGAGUUCAAGGCCUGCCUUGGCAAUUCAGCAAAGCCCUGGCAACUUAGUGAGAUCCCAUCUUAA